ACUCCUCAAAUUGCCAUUCUUAUUCAAUGCAUGUGUUAGUCUGCUACUGUUAGAGUUGUUUGAAUAGCUGUUAAUGCCGUUUCAAUGUUGGCACGUCAAACCAACAAAGAAUUACUACAAUUUCCCUAGCAAUAGUUUUCAUAAGGAUGCUUAUGUCUUAAAAGUUAUUUGUUCUGAUAAUACUCCAUUGCACAUUACUCAUCUAUAUGCUGGGUUUUUGUAGGAAAGCACCAUUCUUAAGAUAUCCUAGCCUUUCAGAACAGAUAAAUUUUAAGAUAAAAUAAUUAAAAAAAAAUCAAUUAGGAAUAUCUCGGGGGAAAAUUACUCCAAUCUUAUCUAGUUGCAGCAGAGGAUUCGAGGGCUAUUCAAAUGAAAUAAUUUCGAACAAGAUAAUGAGUAAAAUGAGCAAGUCAAUUAUCACAAGAAUAUCUGCUAAUCCCUAUUAUUGAAGUGAAACACUAUGAUUUAAGCCACAAUUAUUUUCAAAAAUGACAUUACGAAUUAAUAUAUUAUCCCAUUUCACAAUCACCAAAAAGAUUGUUCUUUGCUUUCCCCUUUUGGUUGGUUUUUCCCUAAGUUUUAGGCUUUCUCCUGCCGGAUUUGGGCUAGGGGAAGGCUUCCUUUUCCCAUUCUGAAGAGUGAGUCUCUCCCUCUACAUCUCUGCGCGGGGCUGUAAUUACUUUUAAUUGCUUGUUUUGCAGGCGGAUAUUCACUGAGAGGGAUGCAUGUACUUGGUUCUACUCCUACCUUACAUCCUUUCUUUGGCCAAAGGGUGAAAAUGUUGUGGUGGGUGUUCUAAUUGUCUGGGUUCUUUCAAUCUAGUCUUCGGGUUUGGGUUUGAUAUCUUCAGGAGACGCUACCGAUAUACAUUUGAUACAUCAAGUCCCUUAAAAGUUGAGAGGACCUACGGAGCUCUGCCAAACGCCCGACUGAUCUGGUUUUGGCCCUAUCUUGACUUGAGGUGAUUUGUUUUGUGAUGGAGGAAGUCUUGCUUUUGUGCUUCAAUAGUUGUUUUUUCUUGUUUGAAAAAAGCCUCCUAGUUUGUGCUGGUUUGUGAACUGUGUUGCUCUUCACCUUAGGCAGCCACUGGUUUGCCAAUGCUUGAUGCUUGCCAUGCGGGCUGUUUUGCAAGAGUCAGGUCCUCGAGUCUUAGGGUUCCCUUGUAUUUAGUUUAGGGUUUAAUCUUUAUUGGACCGGGUGGUUUGAUUUUAAUAGGGCCUUCAUUUAUUAACUCAAUUGUAUUAUGCUGUAUAUCUUGGAUUUCAAAGCUUUCUUUUAAUGAAAUCGCCUAUCUUAGGUUAAAAAUUAUAGGAAUAUGUGUGUGCUUAUGAAGAGGAAA
rnacentral:misc_RNA from 1 species